rnacentral:rRNA from 1 species
AAACUUUCAACAACGGAUCUCUUGGUUCUCGCAUCGAUGAAGAACGCAGCGAAAUGCGAUAAGUAUUGUGAAUUGCAGAUUUUCGUGAAUCAUCGAAUCUUUGAACGCACAUUGCGCCCUGUGGUAUUCCACAGGGCAUGCCUGUUUGAGCGUCAUU